rnacentral:rRNA from 1 species
CCUACGGGCGGCAGCAGUGAGGAAUAUUGGUCAAUGGGCGAGAGCCUGAACCAGCCAAGUAGCGUGAAGGAUGACUGCCCUACGGGUUGUAAACUUCUUUUAUAAAGGAAUAAAGUGAGGCACGUGUGACUCUUUGAGUGUACUUUAUGAAUAAGGAUCGGCUAACUCCGUGCCAGCAGCCGCGGUAAUACGGAGGAUCCGAGCGUUAUCCGGAUUUAUUGGGGUUACAGGGAGCGUAGGUGGGGUGGUAAGUCAGUUGUGAAAGUUUGCGGCUCAACCGUAAAAUUGCAAUUGAUACUGGCAGUCUUGAGUACGGGUGAGGUAGGCGGAAUUUGUGGUGUAGCGGUGAAAUGCUUAGAUAUCACGAAGAACUCCGAUUGCGAAGGCAGCUUACUAACCUGCCACUGACGUUGAUGCUCGAAAGUGUGGGUAUCAAACAGGAUUAGAUACCCUUGUAGUC